rnacentral:rRNA from 1 species
AACUGCUUUUGUAUGGGGAUAAAGUCAGUCACGUGUGAUUGUUUGCAGGUACCAUACGAAUAAGGACCGGCUAAUUCCGUGCCAGCAGCCGCGGUAAUACGGAAGGUCCGGGCGUUAUCCGGAUUUAUUGGGUUUAAAGGGAGCGUAGGCUGGAGAUUAAGUGUGUUGUGAAAUGUAGACGCUCAACGUCUGACUUGCAGCGCAUACUGGUUUCCUUGAGUACGCACAACGUUGGCGGAAUUCGUCGUGUAGCGGUGAAAUGCUUAGAUAUGACGAAGAACUCCGAUUGCGAAGGCAGCUGACGGGAGCGCAACUGACGCUGAAGCUCGAAGGUGCGGGUAUCGAACAGGAUUAGAUACCCUGGUAGUCC